rnacentral:rRNA from 1 species
GGGGAAUAUUGCACAAUGGGCGAAAGCCUGAUGCAGCGACGCCGCGUGAGUGAAGAAGUAUUUCGGUAUGUAAAGCUCUAUCAGCAGGGAAGAUGAUGACGGUACCUGACUAAGAAGCCCCGGCUAACUACGUGCCAGCAGCCGCGGUAAUACGUAGGGGGCAAGCGUUAUCCGGAUUUACUGGGUGUAAAGGGAGCGUAGACGGUGAUGCAAGUCAGAUGUGAAAGCCCGGGGCUCAACCGCGGGACUGCAUUUGAAACUGUAUGACUGGAGUGCAGGAGAGGUAAGUGGAAUUCCUAGUGUAGCGGUGAAAUGCGUAGAUAUUAGGAGGAA